rnacentral:rRNA from 1 species
GUGCUAAUCUGCGAUAAGCGCCGGUAAGGUGAUAUGAACCGUUAUAACCGGCGAUACCCGAAUGGGGAAACCCAGUGUGAUUCGUCACACUAUCAUUAACUGAAUCCAUAGGUUAAUGAGGCGAACCGGGGGAACUGAAACAUCUAAGUACCCCGAGGAAAAGAAAUCAACCGAGAUUCCCCCAGUAGCGGCGAGCGAACGGGGAGGAGCCCAGAGCCUGAAUCAGCAUGUGUGUUAGUGGAAGCGUCUGGAAAGGCGCGCGAUACAGGGUGACAGCCCCGUACACAAAAGCGCAUGUGCUGUGAGCUCGAUGAGUAGGGCGGGACACGUGGUAUCCUGUCUGAAUAUGGGGGGACCAUCCUCCAAGGCUAAAUACUCCUGACUGACCGAUAGUGAACCAGUACCGUGAGGGAAAGGCGAAAAGAACCCCGGCGAGGGGAGUGAAAAAGAACCUGAAACCGUGUACGUACAAGCAGUGGGAGCACCCUUUGGGUGUGACUGCGUACCUUUUGUAUAAUGGGUCAGCGACUUAUAUUCUGUAGCAAGGUUAACCGAAUAGGGGAGCCGGAGGGAAACCGAGUCUUAACCGGGCGUUAAGUUGCAGGGUAUAGACCCGAAACCCGGUGAUCUAGCCAUGGGCAGGUUGAAGGUUGGGUAACACUAACUGGAGGACCGAACCGACUAAUGUUGAAAAAUUAGCGGAUGACCUGUGGCUGGGGGUGAAAGGCCAAUCAAACCGGGAGAUAGCUGGUUCUCCCCGAAAGCUAUUUAGGUAGCGCCUCGUGAAUUCAUCUCCGGGGGUAGAGCACUGUUUCGGCUAGGGGGCCAUCCCGGCUUACCAACCCGAUGCAAACUGCGAAUACCGGAGAAUGUUAUCACGGGAGACACACGGCGGGUGCUAACGUCCGUCGUGAAGAGGGAAACAACCCAGACCGCCAGCUAAGGUCCCAAAGUCAUGGUUAAGUGGGAAACGAUGUGGGAAGGCCCAGACAGCCAGGAUGUUGGCUUAGAAGCAGCCAUCAUUUAAAGAAAGCGUAAUAGCUCACUGGUCGAGUCGGCCUGCGCGGAAGAUGUAACGGGGCUAAACCAUGCACCGAAGCUGCGGCAGCGACACUGUGUGUUGUUGGGUAGGGGAGCGUUCUGUAAGCCUGUGAAGGUGUGUCGUGAGGCAUGCUGGAGGUAUCAGAAGUGCGAAUGCUGACAUAAGUAACGAUAAAGCGGGUGAAAAGCCCGCUCGCCGGAAGACCAAGGGUUCCUGUCCAACGUUAAUCGGGGCAGGGUGAGUCGACCCCUAAGGCGAGGCCGAAAGGCGUAGUCGAUGGGAAACGGGUUAAUAUUCCCGUACUUGGUGUUACUGCGAAGGGGGGACGGAGAAGGCUAUGUUGGCCGGGCGACGGUUGUCCCGGUUUAAGCGUGUAGGUGUGUGUUCCAGGUAAAUCCGGUUCACUUUAACACUGAGGCGUGACGACGAGGCACUACGGUGCUGAAGCAACAAAUGCCCUGCUUCCAGGAAAAGCCUCUAAGCAUCAGGUAACAUCAAAUCGUACCCCAAACCGACACAGGUGGUCAGGUAGAGAAUACCAAGGCGCUUGAGAGAACUCGGGUGAAGGAACUAGGCAAAAUGGUGCCGUAACUUCGGGAGAAGGCACGCUGACACGUAGGUGAAGUGAUUUACUCAUGGAGCUGAAGUCAGUCGAAGAUACCAGCUGGCUGCAACUGUUUAUUAAAAACACAGCACUGUGCAAACACGAAAGUGGACGUAUACGGUGUGACGCCUGCCCGGUGCCGGAAGGUUAAUUGAUGGGGUCAGCGCAAGCGAAGCUCCUGAUCGAAGCCCCGGUAAACGGCGGCCGUAACUAUAACGGUCCUAAGGUAGCGAAAUUCCUUGUCGGGUAAGUUCCGACCUGCACGAAUGGCGUAAUGAUGGCCAGGCUGUCUCCACCCGAGACUCAGUGAAAUUGAACUCGCUGUGAAGAUGCAGUGUACCCGCGGCAAGACGGAAAGACCCCGUGAACCUUUACUAUAGCUUGACACUGAACAUUGAGCCUUGAUGUGUAGGAUAGGUGGGAGGCUUUGAAGUGUGGACGCCAGUCUGCAUGGAGCCGACCUUGAAAUACCACCCUUUAAUGUUUGAUGUUCUAACGUGGACCCGUUACCCGGGUUGCGGACAGUGUCUGGUGGGUAGUUUGACUGGGGCGGUCUCCUCCUAAAGAGUAACGGAGGAGCACGAAGGUUGGCUAAUCCUGGUCGGACAUCAGGAGGUUAGUGCAAUGGCAUAAGCCAGCUUGACUGCGAGCGUGACGGCGCGAGCAGGUGCGAAAGCAGGUCAUAGUGAUCCGGUGGUUCUGAAUGGAAGGGCCAUCGCUCAACGGAUAAAAGGUACUCCGGGGAUAACAGGCUGAUACCGCCCAAGAGUUCAUAUCGACGGCGGUGUUUGGCACCUCGAUGUCGGCUCAUCACAUCCUGGGGCUGAAGUAGGUCCCAAGGGUAUGGCUGUUCGCCAUUUAAAGUGGUACGCGAGCUGGGUUUAGAACGUCGUGAGACAGUUCGGUCCCUAUCUGCCGUGGGCGCUGGAGAACUGAGGGGGGCUGCUCCUAGUACGAGAGGACCGGAGUGGACGCAUCACUGGUGUUCGGGUUGUCAUGCCAAUGGCACUGCCCGGUAGCUAAAUGCGGAAGAGAUAAGUGCUGAAAGCAUCUAAGCACGAAACUUGCCCCGAG